CGUUCUCUACACAUGCAAGUCGAGCGAGGCGUGUAGCAAUACACAGUCGAGCGGCGAACGGUUGACUAACACGUGGAUAACCUGCCCAGAGGUGGGGGAUAACCCGGGGAAACUCGGGCUAAUACCGCAUGAUACCGAGAGGUCAAAGGGGGCUCGCAAGGGCUCUCGCCAUUGGAGGGGUCCGCGUCCGAUUAGCUAGUUGGUAGGGUAAUGGCCUACCAAGGCGACGAUCGGUAGCCGGCCUGAGAGGGUGAUCGGCCACACUGGGACUGAGACACGGUCCAGACUCCUACGGGAGGCAGCAGUGGG
rnacentral:sRNA from 1 species